rnacentral:lncRNA from 1 species
UCCGAUAAUUCCGGUGUCGCUCCGGUCUACACCGGUACCAAGCGGACCGGUCCGAACAAUGAAAAAAUUUUGGUAAGACCGAUUCUAGCAGCAAAAACGAUAAGGAAGUUCCGAUACCGGUUUCAACAUCGGUUAAACCGGUCUGGCAUUCCGGUUCCAGUUCGUUGCCAGCCCUAGUGCAGACUUCAUGGUCUUUUCUUCUUGAGACUUUCUUUAUUUCAAAAAGUCCUUAUACAAGUUAGAUGCUGGAUGCAGAAAAGUAUUGAUCAACCUAUUUCAUGUACAUGUUCCAAUGCUUUGUCAAUCAUCAAUAUAUAUAUAUAUAUAUAUAUAUAUAUAUGUGCCCAAUAAUUCUGAAUCUGGGGAAAAUUUCAAAGCAAUUUCAAUAUGUCAAAGACCAAACUUGUGUAUGUAAAACGGUGGUAGAAGGAUUUUGGCUCUUGGCUCUUGGAUCACCUAGGAGAAGCCGAACUAGUUCAUUGAAAGUUUCUCCUUGAGCUCAAAAAAGUCCCGAUCAUCGGCCUAGGUUCCUUUCAAACCAACAAAUUAAGACAAAAUCACAACAAUCAUUGAAUGGGUAGAAGUCUUAGCAUAUUCAUGUCAAUACUAAAUGGAUCAAACGGUCAUGACUCUAGCUUAAUAGUUACUAACAUACAACUCCAAAUAAGAACACAUGUUCUUUUUAUUUUAAUAAAAAAUCUAGAGCCGAUCAAGAUAUGCACCUUCGAUCAGCAAGGAACUCAACAAACUCUUACAUUUUUCUUAAACACAAAAUUUAUAAAUAUACAAGAUCAUUGCCAAGUUUCUGUACAACUAACGAAAAACAGAGAAAAUGAUGCAUUGAAAUUUGAUAAAUGCAUGAUCUUCUAAAGCUAAAGUGAUACAAAAAGAAAGAUAUAUUAAGACUUAUGAUGAUUAGGUUUACAUGACUCUAUCCAGAGAACAAACAACAAACAAGAAAAGCAAGCAGAUGACAGUUCCAAAUUCAAACUACACGAAAUUUAAGCUUAAGAGGAAAGAAAUAAAACAAAGGUGAGAAAUAUUUUUUUACUAAUUAUGAAUAGAAGAGGACAAAUCCGCUAGAUGAGAGGUGAAUCUAAGGAAAAUAAGGGAUUAACUAAUUCAUGCUUUAAAUUUCUAAACAUCACUAUAGCAAUAAUAUGACCAAAAGCAGCCAAUUCGCUAACAUACUUAAAUCAAAAUGCAACAACACUAAUUAUAACUUUGAUAGUUUGAAAAAAUGUGAACGUGAGAAAUAUAAUCCUAGUAUGGUUGAAUAUUGACUACACAUUAUCUUAUGUCAAUAACAAGUAAAUGAAGUGCUGAAUUUAAAGAAAUAAGGGAGAAAAGCGAAAAAAAAAAAAAAUCACCUUUAAUGCACAAAACUUAAAACAAAAAAGAAAGCAGCAUACCAUUUUCUUUUUUUUCUUCAAGAUUUUACUAAAUUCAAACACAAAAUCGAACGCAUAUUAAGGUCUAGAUAUAAAGUGAAUGGGAAUUACCUUUUUAGAGCAGCGGACUAAGACGAGAAGUUAUUCGGAAUGAGUUUUCACACACUUGACCCUCUUCGAAUAAAUUUCUUUUUUUGAUUUUCUUCUGAUUUGAGAUUAAUUAAGGAAUAGGAACUAUGAUACUUUUUUGGUUAAGCAAUAGGAAAUUAACACUUCAAAAACCUCUCAAAUUCUCUACCACUUAACCUCUGCCUCAACGGGCGAAUGUAACCCUCACUUUAUAGGUUGAGUUUGUUGUAACAGCUCCUUUAAGAAGCUUCCAACAGAUUCCAAAUUUGAAACAUUAAAAAGAUGGGUCAAGGAGAAAAGAUUAAAAAUGGAGAAAGUUGACAAAGGAGAUAAGGGUUAUCCUAUUUUUUAGAUUGAUUGGAAAGAUGCAUAAAAUUUGAAUGCAAAGACAAAUUUGGUGGUACGAACCUAAUUUGUAGGUCUACAGUUUUUUAUUUCUCCCAGGCUAACGGUGGAGAUGAAGGGACUUUUUCAACCUUGAAAUCACGCCGAGAUAAGCUACUUGAACUCAAAAUCAGGCGAAUUUCUCCCGAGUGGAUGGGGCGAUGACAGAGGUUUGUUGGAGUUUCUCUGGGUGUUUUAGAUGAUGAAGGAGAAGGCGAUCAAGUGUUAGGGGUGUUUAGUGUAAAUUUAGGUUAAUUGUGGUGUCUAAUUGGGUUUAGAUUCAAAACUGUUAAAAGCCAUCCCCUGCUAAUUUAUUGGUUGAAAAAUAAGUUGAAUUGGUCCAAGUUAGCAAACAAAUUAGUUUUG